AUGGGGCGGGGGUCUGAAAGCGUCCCCGAGGACAUCAGAGCUGGAGGGAAGGGAGCAGGGGGGCCGGGAGGGAGCAGGCAGCGAGCAAAGCCCGAGGAGCAGCGGGAGGAGGCUGCAGGAGGAUGCACUGCCCGGCAUCCCCCCUCGCCUGCCAGCAUCCCUGCAUCCCUCCCACGGCAGCAUCAAUCCUCCCUCCUGCAGCUGCCUGCGCCUGCAGAGGCCUCUGCUUCCUCCUCCCCCUCCUCCUCCUCCCCCUCCUGCUGCUGCCUCAUUGCCCAGCCACAAAUUAAGGGAGCGGUGCCUUACCUUGGCUGCACGGGCUCCUUGGGGCCCUGGGCCAGGGGAGCUGCGGUGUCACGGCGUUCUGGCAGCAGGGACUGCACAGGCUGGCAGAGCUGCAGCAGGGACAGCGCACAGCCAGGGACAGUGCACAGGCUGGCAGAGCUGCAGAAGGGACACUGCACAGGCUGGCAGAGCUGCAGCAGGGACAAUGUCAGGCUGGCAGGGGUGCAGCAGGGACUGCUCCAGGCUGACAGAUGGGGCGGGGGUCUGAAAGCGUCCCCGAGGACAUCAGAGCUGGAGGGAAGGGAGCAGGGGGGCCGGGAGGGAGCAGGCAGCGAGCAAAGCCCGAGGAGCAGCGGGAGGAGGCUGCAGGAGGAUGCACUGCCCGGCAUCCCCCCUCGCCUGCCAGCAUCCCUGCAUCCCUCCCACGGCAGCAUCAAUCCUCCCUCCUGCAGCUGCCUGCGCCUGCAGAGGCCUCUGCUUCCUCCUCCCCCUCCUCCUCCUCCCCCUCCUGCUGCUGCCUCAUUGCCCAGCCACAAAUUAAGGGAGCGGUGCCUUACCUUGGCUGCACGGGCUCCUUGGGGCCCUGGGCCAGGGGAGCUGCGGUGUCACGGCGUUCUGGCAGCAGGGACUGCACAGGCUGGCAGAGCUGCAGCAGGGACAAUGUCAGGCUGGCAGAGCUGCAGCAGGGACAAUGUCAGGCUGGCAGGGGUGCAGCAGGCAGGGGUGCAGCGGGUUGGGGUGCAGCAGGCAGGGGUGCAGCAAGCAGGGGUGCAGCAGGGACAGUGUCAGGCUGGCAGGGGUGCAGCAGGAUGGGAUGCAGCAGGCAGGGGUGCAGCAGGGACAAUGUCAGGCUGGCAGGGAUGCAGAAGGCAGGGGUUGGGAUGCAGCAGGCAGGGGUGCAGCAGGUUGAGGUGCAGCAGGAUGGGGUGCAGCAGGCAGGGGUUGGGAAGCAGCAGGCAGAGGUGCAGCAGGUUGCAGCCACAGGCACGGCUCGGAGCAGGCUGGGAGCGGCAUCGCUGCCUGGGACACGCGCGGAGCUCCCCGGCAGUAGAAGCCGGUGCAGCUCCCUGCUGUCACCCUGCGUGCAGCACAGCCCUGCUGCCAGCACAGCUGCCUCUGAUCCAUUUAUUUGUUCGCCUUUUCCCCCCAUCGUGUGCAUCUGCUUUGGUGCUGGCGGGGCGGCGGGGAGAGCCCAGGGCAGAUCCGAACCUGCUCCGGUGCCAUUCACCGCCUGUGGGCCGAAUGCAGAGUCCAGGCUGCUCAGCUGGGCCCCUGCGGAGCGGGGCUAGUGAGAGCCCCUCCUCGUCUGUCCCCCAAAACAGAGCCGGGCUUAGAACCCAGAGAAUCCUCCCAGCGCAGCCGGGCACUCUCCUGCACAGCCAGGCAAGGCUCGGCAGUGAGAGCCAGAGGAAAAACAGAGUUCCCAGUUUGUUUACUACCUCUUGGCACACAUCCACGCCCGGCUUUUCCUAUCGCACUGGCGGCUCUGCAGCCCGGCCGAGCAGGGUGAGCUCAGCGGGACGGUCCCGGGUCCCUGCCCGGCUGGGGGCUGAGCGUGGAGCUGCUGCCCUGCAGGGAUUUAAUUCCUCGUCUGGCAGUUCAGGAGCGUGCCUGUGCCGUGCCGGGGCGGGAUAA
rnacentral:lncRNA from 1 species